rnacentral:rRNA from 1 species
UACGAAGGGGGCUAGCGUUGUUCGGAAUCACUGGGCGUAAAGGGCGCGUAGGCGGCUGUUCAAGUCGGGGGUGAAAUCCCGUGGUUCAACCACGGAAUGGCCUUCGAUACUGGACGGCUCGAGACCGGAAGAGGUGAGUGGAACUGCGAGUGUAGAGGUGAAAUUCGUAGAUAUUCGCAAGAACACCAGUGGCGAAGGCGGCUCACUGGUCCGGUUCUGACGCUGAGGCGCGAAAGCGUGGGGAGCAAACGGG